GAGGAAUAUUGGUCAAUGGACGAGAGUCUGAACCAGCCAAGUAGCGUGAAGGAUGACUGCCCUAUGGGUUGUAAACUUCUUUUAUACGGGAAUAAAGUGAGGUACGUGUGCCUUUUUGUAUGUACCGUAUGAAUAAGGAUCGGCUAACUCCGUGCCAGCAGCCGCGGUAAUACGGAGGAUCCGAGCGUUAUCCGGAUUUAUUGGGUUUAAAGGGAGCGUAGGCGGACGCUUAAGUCAGUUGUGAAAGUUUGCGGCUCAACCGUAAAAUUGCAGUUGAUACUGGGUGUCUUGAGUACAGUAGAGGCAGGCGGAAUUCGUGGUGUAGCGGUGAAAUGCUUAGAUAUCACGAAGAACUCCGAUUGCGAAGGCAGCCUGCUGGACUGUAACUGACGCUGAUGCUCGAAAGUGUGGGUAUCAAACAGGAUUAGAUACCCUGGUAGUCCACACAGUAAACGAUGAAUACUCGCUGUUUGCGAUAUACAGUAAGCGGCCAAGCGAAAGCGUUAAGUAUUCCACCUGGGGAGUACGCCGGCAACGGUGAAACUCAAAGGAAUUGACGGGGGCCCGCACAAGCGGAGGAACAUGUGGUUUAAUUCGAUGAUACGCGAGGAACCUUACCCGGGCUUGAAUUGCAACUGAAUGAUGUGGAGACAUGUCAGCCGCAAGGCAGUUGUGAAGGUGCUGCAUGGUUGUCGUCAGCUCGUGCCGUGAGGUGUCGGCUUAAGUGCCAUAACGAGCGCAACCCUUAUCGAUAGUUACCAUCAGGUUAUGCUGGGGACUCUGUCGAGACUGCCGUCGUAAGAUGUGAGGAAGGUGGGGAUGACGUCAAAUCAGCACGGCCCUUACGUCCGGGGCUACACACGUGUUACAAUGGGGGGUACAGAAGGCAGCUACACGGCGACGUGAUGCUAAUCCCGAAAGCCUCUCUCAGCUCGGAUUGGAGUCUGCAACCCGACUCCAUGAAGCUGGAUUCGCUAGUAAUCGCGCAUCAGCCACGGCGCGGUGAAUACGUUCCCG
rnacentral:rRNA from 1 species